rnacentral:lncRNA from 1 species
AUGAAGAAUAAUCGUUAGCUACUCAUGAGAAAUAUUUACCAAAUUUGAAUUCUUGUUUCUAAAGUUGAGGCUUAGAAAAUUUUCUUGUAAUUGCAGAAUUCUUAUUUGUAAUUCGUAAAUAUGCCUUAAAGAUGAUCUUCCUCAUUGGCAGAUGUUCUGUAUUCAGUGUAUACAGUCUACAUAGAUACGUACACUAAUGACCUACACAAAAUAAUGACACUUGAGAAAGAAUAGAAAAAAAUGAAGGUAAAAUUUUCUGAAAAAUAGAUUUCAACCAGAGAUGGAGAAUGAUUUGUGCAGUUUCAGGUCAUUUUUCAGGUCAUUUAUAGUUAAUGAUUAUUUCAUUUUUUAUUAUGUA